AGAGUUUGAUCCUGGCUCAGGACGAACGCUGGCGGCGUGCUUAACACAUGCAAGUCGAACGAGAAUCUGCGGAAAGAGGAUUCGUCCAAUUGAAGCAGAGGACAGUGGCGGACGGGUGAGUAACGCGUGAGGAACCUGCCUUUCAGAGGGGGACAACAGUUGGAAACGACUGCUAAUACCGCAUGACACAUUGGGGUCGCAUGGCCUCAAUGUCAAAGAUUUAUCGCUGAAAGAUGGCCUCGCGUCUGAUUAGCUAGUUGGUGAGGUAACGGCCCACCAAGGCGACGAUCAGUAGCCGGACUGAGAGGUUGAACGGCCACAUUGGGACUGAGAUACGGCCCAGACUCCUACGGGAGGCAGCAGUGGGGAAUAUUGGGCAAUGGGCGCAAGCCUGACCCAGCAACGCCGCGUGAAGGAAGAAGGCUUUCGGGUUGUAAACUUCUUUUGUCAGGGACGAGCAGAAGACGGUACCUGACGAAUAAGCCACGGCUAACUACGUGCCAGCAGCCGCGGUAAUACGUAGGGGGCGAGCGUUGUCCGGAAUGACUGGGCGUAAAGGGCGUGUAGGCGGCAGUAUAAGUCCGGAGUGAAAGUCCUGCUUUCAAGGUGGGAAUUGCUUUGGAGACUGUACAGCUUGAGUGCGGAAGAGGUAAGUGGAAUUCCCAGUGUAGCGGUGAAAUGCGUAGAGAUUGGGAGGAACACCAGUGGCGAAGGCGACUUACUGGGCCGUAACUGACGCUGAGGCGCGAAAGCGUGGGGAGCGAACAGGAUUAGAUACCCUGGUAGUCCACGCGGUAAACGAUGAAUGCUAGGGGUAGGGGAUAUCGACCCCUUUCUGUGCCAGAGUAAAACACAAUAAGCAUUCCGCCUGGGGAAGUACGGCCGCAAGGUUGAAACUCAAAGGAAUUGACGGGGGCCCGCACAAGCAGCGGAGCAUGUGGUUUAAUUCGUCGCAACGCGAAGAACCCUUACCAGGUCUUGACAUCGAUCCAAAGCUGUAGAGAUACAGUGUGACUUCGGUCAGGAGAAGACAGGUGGUGCAUGGUUGUCGUCAGCUCGUGUCGUGAGAUGUUGGGUUAAGUCCCGCAACGAGCGCAACCCCUAUCCCCAGUAGCCAGCAGUUCGGCUGGGCACUCUGAGGAGACUGCCAGGGAUAACCUGGAGGAAGGCGGGGAUGACGUCAAAUCAUCAUGCCCCUUAUGAUUUGGGCUACACACGUGCUACAAUGGCGUAAACAAAGGGAAGCGAGCCUGCGAAGGUAAGCAAAUCCCAAAAAUAACGUCCCAGUUCGGACUGCAGUCUGCAACUCGACUGCACGAAGCUGGAAUCGCUAGUAAUCGCGGAUCAGAAUGCCGCGGUGAAUACGUUCCCGGGUCUUGCACACACCGCCCGUCA
rnacentral:rRNA from 1 species